rnacentral:lncRNA from 1 species
CAUCUAUUUUGCUUGUUUGUUUUCUAGUGCAAAAUUGACUCUUCCCAGCAAAUAUAGCACAUCUCAAUAGCAAUGGCAUGUGCUUAUUUAAUUUCUAGAAGGCUUGCUUCAGUGAACCCCUCACUCCAGCCAUCCCUGCAGAUGAGCACCCUGGAAGGUCCCACUAAGACUGUCUUCAAGUGAGUGAAGGAAAAGGAGACUUACGGCAAAGAACCUAUGAGAAUCCUCCAUACUUUAAGCUGUUUGAACUGGAGCCAACUCCUACUUCUCCAUCAACAUGCUCCCUUUGGUUGUUUCCCAUUGCUUAUUUGAGCAUUUCCUGCUGUAAUAAUUCAAGUGAGUGCCUCAUUUGGGGAAGCAGAGAUGUCAGCACACCAUUCGUUUCCUCCGCGUUGGCCCGUUUGUUUCUUCAUGAACUCUGCCAGGGUCUGCUACCGGUGAUUCAUGACACACGUCAACCUGGGUUCUAUAGGGCAUCUCCAAGAAGGACCUCUGCACAGAGCACAUUUCUCAAGUUGGUGACAACUCAGUGA